CGCCCCCCGACCCGGAAGGUAAAUAGGGGCGCCGGCGCGGCAGGGUCCUGGCAGGACGGAGACCCUCGCGGGGCCGGUGGGCUCGGCUUGGGCUGGACCGAACUGGACGUUUCUGUGCCCUCCUGGGUCCACAGCUGUAUUGGGGAGGCCGUGAACAGGCCGCGAGAAAUGAGCCGACACCGUUCCAGAGAGCAGCAGGAGCUGAGAAGAGAAAUAAAAAAGGGUAAUGGACCAAAGCGUGGAAACCGGGGAGAUGGACAGUUCCGGAGGGCGCCCCUAAGAAGACGAUCUUUGAGCUGAGACCUGGACCAUGGCUGGGAGACGGGCCUGGGAAGAUGCGCAGGAACGACGUGCCAGAAGGAACACCAAGGGCAAAGGCCCUGCCUCAGGGCUUGACGGAGCCAGAGGGAGGUUGAUUGAUGCAGAUAAUAAGUCUUGAUCCGCAGUCAAAAACACUGAACUGAGGCACAGGUCCCACAGGGAAAUGGAGCCAGAAUUCCAGCCCAGUUCUGUGUGACCCACAGUCCCAUGGUCUUCCUAGUACACUGCCUCUCAACACGCAACCUCUGGGCCCCUGGGAAUGUAUCUUUUGGAUUCAGCAGAAGUCAAGAGCUCUUUGGAAAAGCUUGCCGUGCAGCGUUAUUUGUGAGACCAAAGGAGUGGACAGCACCGCAGCCCAACUACAGAAAAAGAGCUGAGCAAAUCGUUGCUUACUCCACAAGGAAUCUCCUGUAGUAGUUGAAAAUGCUAAUGAUGAAGAUGGAAACAUGGGGAAAGACGAAUGAUAAUGCAUUAAGUACAAAAAAAAAAGUCCCAUGCAAAAUGGUCUGUAUGCUAUGAUUACAAUCAUGUCAAAACAUGGCCAUGUGUACGGACCGAGAGAAUGGAGAGAUGAAAGUAUUUGUGUGUUUAGCUGGUGGGUUUUCUUUGCCAUUUUCAAAAUUAUACUCUCUAGUUGUUGUUUAUUUGUUACUUCAAAGAGUCUAUGUGCCUAAAUUGACGUCCCAGCCUCUCCCACCCAGAAGCCUAGUUUAGAUCCUCCUGCCUUGUGACCCUUGGUGGAAUAUCACACACCUGCUUCAUGGAGUUGUUGCGAGGAUAAUGUGUUCUGCCUUUUUGUACGUCCUGAACCUUUCCAUCAUGGCCCUUGAGGCAAGAUAAAUGGAGUGUUGUGAGUUUGUUUUACCUAUUCUCCUCCUAACCACCCCCUUGAAACACUCUCAUUCCUUUUCUCUGAGAUUUUCGCCUGGUCCUCAAAGAACAAGAAUCAAAAGCUGAAAGUCUACAGCUCUUGUUAGCCUUAAAAAACUAAACUUUUUCGAUAAGUUUGGAGGAGGAGAGGAGAUGCUAGUGGAGGGGAGGGGAGAAGGAAGAGGGUAUGUGAGAAGCUAGGGGCAGUAUUCCAUAUGCUGUUUCUGUAACAGCCAUAGAACAAGAAAGGAGUGUGUGUCUGCUUUCAGACUACAAUUCAAGAGGAUUAACAAAAAUCAUUACAACAAUGUAACUCAAAGUAUUUAU